rnacentral:misc_RNA from 1 species
UGGGGCUCGGUCUUCUCGUUGUGU